rnacentral:lncRNA from 1 species
CCAGGCGUAUCAGGUAAGGAUCCUGUGAUGUUGAUAGAAAAAAAAACUUUUCUGUGAUAUUAUCUUCCUGGCAGUAAAUGAUCAGUCAUGAUCAGACAUAAUAAGAUAAAUGUAUAACCGAGCUGUUGAUUUUCUUCGUGCAUGUUCAUUAUAUUUCUAGCAGUAAUCGGCAGUUGUGAUGAUCGGUCAGUUUUUGCAUCAAAUAGAUAUUUCUAAACGAAUAUUCAAGGCUUUGUUAUGGCUUGCAUUCCCGUGCUGUUGUUCCCAACAUGUUUCUGUAACAAGAAGAACACGAGCUCCUCAUCUUUGUAUCAUAAUCACUCUUAACCUUGUUUUCCAUUUUGUUUGGUGAUUAGAGUAUAAAUUCUGGCAAUGGUGCAAAGGUGGAAAACUUAGCCGUUUAAUCGCAGUUGUGUUGCUCAAUUGCGACACUGUAUUCCAGGAUUACAAUAUUAAUCUUUCUAUUCAUGGAAUGCAGAAUAGCUUAUGAGUUUUAUCUGCAGGAAACCAAACCGAAACAUGCUUCUCUAUAAACCGUACCAAGGCGACAACAUUCUUAUUUAUAUUCCGUUGAUCAAGUAGCAGGAAAAGGCCUACUUACUCUUUACUUUGAUUUUCCAUUUUUGGGAACCAGGUGAAGUAUCCUCCACGUAGGGCAUUAAGCAGGUAACAUUAGAAAGUGCACUUUUGUUUUCACUCUUACUCGCACUAUCCUGUAUGCAUGGAAACUAAUUUACCAUUUUGAUUAUUUGGUGUAUACUAUCUAAAAUAGCAGGCAGAGCCGCCACAUACUCUUGUUUCCGUUCUCAAAUUGGACCAGAAAAAAGCUUUUUACCGGAUGAAGCAAAAAAAAAAUCCAUCCCUCUUGAAUGCCUACAUUGUUGCUCACAAGCAUGUGCCUUUCUAUGUUGUUUUUUGUCUAAUUUAGAGAGCAUAUUGAUAAUGGUCAGCACUAAUCAUUUUUUUAAUCUUUCCUGAAGGGCUCUUACCAGCUACAUUAUUUUUUUUUCUCUCCUAAAGUGACAAGCAAGUUUCCAAGUUCAAGUCAGAUGACACGAUGCGGGGUGAUUAUUUUAGGAUGGUUCCUAAUGUAUCCGCCAUUUAGGUUAUACUAGCUGGAUGCCCGUGCUUUGCCACGGAAUAGCAAAUAAUAUAUACACAUAAAUAGAACUCUUUAAUAGACAUUUCUAUCUCCUUAACCAACAUCCUUUCAUAAGAUACUUAUAUGCAAGUGAAUAGUGAUGCAAAUGGUACUAUUUAAUAUUAGCUUGUUUUUUGUAAACAAAUAAGAUGGAAUCAUCCUAGCUCCAUUCACAGAAC